rnacentral:rRNA from 1 species
AUGUAUCCAGAGGGCUACACAUUCUUAAAAGAUGAUUUGGUGAAGCAAUGGGUGGCAGAAGGUCUGAUCUAUACAACAGAAGGGCAAGACAGUGAGAAAGUUGCAGAAAGUUAUGUCUACCAACUUAUUGGUAGAAGCUUCAUCCAGCCGAUAUGUGUCAACUACAACAAUGAGGUGCUGUCCUGUCAAGUGCAUGACAUGGUACAUGAUCUUAUUACACACAAGUCUGCAGAAGAGAAUUUCAUCAUGGCAAUAGACUACAGCUGUCAAAAGAAUGUGUCACUUUCUCACAAGGCCCGUCGACUCUCACUCGUCUUUGGGGACGCAAGGUAUGCCAAGACACCAGCAAACAUCAGAAAAUCGCAAGUUCGGUCAGUUAGAUUUUCUGGAUUGCUUGAGUCUAUGCCUUGUCUUACAGAGUUCAAACUUCUUCGUGUCCUAAACCUUCAACUAUCUGGUCAAGGCCGCCAUGAUGAUGAUAUAGCAGACCUCAUCGGGAUUUCAGAGAUGUUUCAACUGAGAUAUUUGAAGAUUGCAUGUGAUGUCUGCAUCAGACUGCUGAGCCAUGUU